GGCUCCGUGACGCCAAUUGGCAAACCUUCCACGCUUAGAACGUGGAGAUUGGGAGUUCGAAUCUCCCCGGAGCCACCA
rnacentral:tRNA from 1 species